UACGUAGGUGGCGAGCGUUGUCCGGAUUUACUGGGCGUAAAGGGAGCGUAGGCGGAUUUUUAAGUGAGAUGUGAAAUACUCAGGCUCAACUUGAGUGCUGCAUUUCAAACUGGAAGUCUAGAGUGCAGGAGAGGAGAAUGGAAUUCCUAGUGUAGCGGUGAAAUGCGUAGAGAUUAGGAAGAACACCAGUGGCGAAGGCGAUUCUCUGGACUGUAACUGACGCUGAGGCUCGAAAGCGUGGGGAGCAAACAGG
rnacentral:rRNA from 1 species